rnacentral:rRNA from 1 species
UGAAGCGGCAACAGCUCAAAUUUGAAAUCUGGCUCUUUGGGUCCGAGUUGUAAUUUGUAGAGGAUGCUUCGGCGUUGGACCCGACCUAAGUUCCUUGGAACAGGACGUCACAGAGGGUGAGAAUCCCGUACGUGGCCGGUGUCUCUCGCCAUGUGAAGCUCCUUCGACGAGUCGAGUUGUUUGGGAAUGCAGCUCUAAAUGGGAGGUAAAUUUCUUCUAAAGCUAAAUACUGGCCAGAGACCGAUAGCGCACAAGUAGAGUGAUCGAAAGAUGAAAAGCACUUUGGAAAGAGAGUUAAAAAGUACGUGAAAUUGUUGAAAGGGAAGCGCUUGCAACCAGACCUGCCCGCGGUCGCUCAUCCAGGCUUCUGCCUGGUGCACUCUUCCGUGGUCAGGCCAGCAUCGGUUCGGGCGGUCGGACAAAGACGGCGGGAAUGUGGCUCCUCUCGGGGAGUGUUAUAGCCCGCCGUGUAAUGCGGCCAGUCCGGACCGAGGUCCGCGCUUCGGCUAGGAUGCUGGCGUAAUGGUUGUAAGCGGCCCGUCUUGAAACACGGACCAAGGAGUCUAACAUCUGUGCGAGUGUUUGGGUGUCAAGCCCGGACGCGUAAUGAAAGUGAACGGAGGCGGGAACCUUUGGGUGCACCGUCGACCGAUCCUGAUGUCUUCGGAUGGAUUUGAGUAAGAGCAUAGCUGUUGGGACCCGAAAGAUGGUGAACUAUGCCUGAAUAGGGUGAAGCCAGAGGAAACUCUGGUGGAGGCUCGCAGCGGUUCUGACGUGCAAAUCGAUC